ensembl:lncRNA
UGUCUGCAGACAAUGAACAAGAGGCCGGAAUGGAUGAGCAAUUUUAAUGAACAGCUUCAGCCACCGCAGCUCCCGGGAAGAGACAAGGCACUAGUAUUCCUCCCCUUCCUCCUCGCCCUCCAUGCUGUCAGCCCCCACCUCCUCGUAAUCCUUCUCCAGGGCCGCCAUGUCCUCCCGCGCCUCCGAGAACUCCCCCUCCUCCAUGCCCUCCCCCACGUACCAGUGCACGAAGGCACGCUUGGCGUACAUCAGGUCAAACUUGUGGUCCAGGCGGGCCCAGGCCUCGGCGAUGGCCGUCGUGUUGCUCAGCAUGCACACGGCGCGCUGCACCUUGGCCAGGUCCCCGCCGGGAACCACCGUGGGCGGCUGGUAGUUGAUGCCCACCUUGAAACCCGUCGGGCACCAGUCCACAAACUGGAURSUGCGYUUGGUCUUGAUGGUGGCGAUGGCGGCGUUGACAUCUUUGGGCACCACGUCGCACUUCACCAUCUGGUUGGCCGGCUCGAAGCAGGCGUUGGUGAUCUCCGCCACCGUGAGCUGCUCGUGGUAAGCUUUCUCAGCAGAGAUGACGGGGGCGUAGGUGGCCAGRGGGAAGUGGAURCGGGGRUARGGCACCAGGUUGGUCUGGAACUCGGUCAGAUCGACAUUCAGGGCCCCGUCGAAGCGCAGGGACGCCGUGAUGGAGGACACGAUCUGGCCUAUCAACCUGUUGAGGUUGGUGUAGGUGGGGCGCUCGAUGUCCAGGUUCCGGCGGCAGAUGUCGUAGAUGGCCUCGUUGUCCACCAUGAAGGCGCAGUCGGAGUGCUCCAGGGUGGUGUGGGUGGUGAGGAUGGAGUUGUAGGGCUCCACCACGGCCGUGGACACCUGCGGUGCCGGGUAGAUGGAGAACUCCAGCUUGGACUUCUUGCCGUAGUCGACGGAGAGGCGCUCCAUGAGCAGGGAGGUGAAGCCGGAGCCGGUGCCCCCGCCGAAGCUGUGGAAGACCAGGAAGCCCUGCAGGCCUGUGCACUGGUCAGCCUGGAAGGAAAGGGGAGAAAGCAAGACGCAUUUAUUGGUUGUGCCCUGCACAUCCCAUCUCAGCCGCUAGCGACGCUGGCUGGAAGCCUGCACCAUCCUGCUCCUUGUCACGGGAGCCAUUUUCUGGAUUUAAGCUGCUAUUUACUCAUCGAAGAAAGCCAGUAUUUACCCCAGCGCGCCAGGCUGCUGGGGCAGCUCGGAUCAGGACCACACGCACACGCACAGCCAGCCCCUGCGGCAGCCGCCGCUCGCGGGUCUGCUCGGCGCGGAGGAAACCUGCUCCGUUUUACGAGGCCACACRAAGGCGUUUUACAGCAGCCAUUUGGAGAGCAGCGCCUGCUCGGAGGCUUGCAGCCCCCCAGCGAAGCCGGGAAUUCACGUUCCCUUCCCAGCCCGGGAAGCAGGUUUAAAGCAGCCCCAGCAGGAGUUCAACACGCUGCCCAGCUGCUCAAACGCAGUUUGUGACGGAGGAUCAGAGCCCACAGCAAGGGCAAACCUCAGACAAGCCCCAAAAGGGAUAGAAAYAAGGGUUUCCCAGUUCAGGGACUGCAGUCAGCCUCGCCCGGGUCUCCCCUGACUCCCAGGUUCAGACUUGGGUUACACUUCACCUUCUGGGUGCAGAUUUUGCAACUGCGGGAGGUUUGCAGGCCCCAGAGGCAGCACAUUCAAGCUGCUGGGAGGUGUAAGGGCUCCUGACCGUGUUCCCAGGGUCUGGACAACGCGGACCCAGCACCAGCACCCGUGAUCCAGGGAGCCCCAACCUGGAGCAGCAGCACCUGGGGGCCCAGGGCUGCUAAACGCAGCCGGCGCCCUUCGCCCGAGGCCGGCCAAAGGCAGCGCUCGGCUCCUUGCAGCCCUCCCGGUCGCGCUCGGGGACUUUCUCCUUUCCCCAUCCGGCUGCUUCGCUGCAGCCCAGACCCAGGUUUCCGCUCACCAGCUUGCGGAUGCGGUCGAGGACCAGGUCGAUGAUCUCCUUGCCRAUGGUGUAGUGCCCCCGCGCGUAGUUGUUGGCCGCAUCCUCCUUGCCCGUGAUCAGCUGCUCGGGGUGGAAGAGCUGCCGGUAGGUCCCCGUGCGCACUUCGUCUGCGGGACGAGGACGGGCGCCCCGUUAGCACCGCCGCCGCCGCCCCCCCGGCCCCCCCGCGCCC